GGUGAUUUAGCUCAGUGGUAGAGCGCUUGCCUAGCAAGCACAAGGCCCUGGGUUCGGUCCCCAGCUCUG
rnacentral:tRNA from 1 species